CCCCUCUCAGGGUCGCACCUGGUGAGUUUCCAGUACUCUACCAGUCUCGACUAUGGGAAGGACAGUCAAACAGCAGCUUACCCAUUCCAUUCCUAGCUUGGGCAGUGUCUAGCGAGUGGAAGGCAAUCUGCUACAAGU